GAGUUUUUGAUGUCGCAGAUACUGCAUCAGGAACUGAUUGGAUAAGAAUCGGUUACCAUCAGUUCCUAAUGCAUUGCCUUCAGCAUCUAAACA
rnacentral:pre_miRNA from 1 species